UAGGGAAUCUUCCGCAAUGGACGAAAGUCUGACGGAGCAACGCCGCGUGAGUGAAGAAGGAUUUCGGUUCGUAAAACUCUGUUGUUAUGGAAGAAAAAAUGUAUAGUAACUAUAUACAAAAGAGACGGUACCUAACCAGAAAGCCACGGCUAACUACGUGCCAGCAGCCGCGGUAAUACGUAGGUGGCAAGCGUUGUCCGGAAUUAUUGGGCGUAAAGCGCGCGCAGGUGGUUUAGAAAGUCUGAUGUGAAAGCCCACGGCUCAACCGUGGAGGGUCAUUGGAAACUAAUAAACUUGAGUGCAGGAGAGAAAAGUGGAAUUCCAUGUGUAGCGGUGAAAUGCGUAGAGAUUAGGAGGAACACCGGUGGCGAAAGCGGCUUUUUGGCCUGCAACUGACACUGAGGCGCGAAAGCGUGGGGAGCAAACAGG
rnacentral:rRNA from 1 species